rnacentral:rRNA from 2 species
CAGCCGCGGUAAUACGUAGGUCGCAAGCUGUUAUCCGGAAUUAUUGGGCGUAAAGCGCGCGCAGGUGGUCUCUUAAGUCUGAUGUGAAAGCCCACGGCUCAACCGUGGAGGGUCAUUGGAAACUGGGAGACUUGAGUGCAGAAGAGGAAAGUGGAAUUCCCAUGUGUAGCGGUGAAAUGCGUAGAGAUAUGGAGGAACCCCAGUGGCGAAGGCGACUUUCUGGUCUGUAACUGACACUGAGGCGCGAAAGCGUGGGGAGCACACAGGAUUAGAUACCCUGGUAGUCCACGCCGUAAACGAUGAGUGCUAAGUGUUAGAGGGUUUCCGCCCUUUAGUGCUGAAGUUAACGCAUUAAGCACUCCGCCUGGGGAGUACGGCCGCAAGGCUGAAACUCAAAGGAAUUGACGGGGGCCCGCACAAGCGGUGGAGCAUGUG